rfam:Stegodyphus mimosarum contig84396, whole genome shotgun sequence.
GUCUUCGUGGUGUAGUGGUCUACAUGCUGGACGCGUAACCGAGAGGUCCGUGGUUCGAUUCCCGGCGAAGGCG